GAUGAACGCUGGCGGCGUGCCUAAUACAUGCAAGUCGAGCGAACGGACGAGAAGCUUGCUUUUCUGAUGUUAGCGGCGGACGGGUGGGUAACACGUGGAUAACCUACCUAUAAGACUGGGAUAACUUCGGGAAACCGGAGCUAAUACCGGAUAAUAUUUUGAACCGCAUGGUUCAAAAGUGAAAGACGGUCUUGCUGUCACUUAUAGAUGGAUCCGCGCUGCAUUAGCUAGUUGGUAAGGUAACGGCUUACCAAGGCAACGAUGCAUAGCCGACCUGAGAGGGUGAUCGGCCACACUGGAACUGAGACACGGUCCAGACUCCUACGGGAGGCAGCAGUAGGGAAUCUUCCGCAAAGGGCGAAAGCCUGACGGAGCAACGCCGCGUGAGUGAUGAAGGUCUUAGGAUCGUAAAACUCUGUUAUUAGGGAAGAACAUAUGUGUAAGUAACUGUGCACAUCUUGACGGUACCUAAUCAGAAAGCCACGGCUAACUACGUG
rnacentral:rRNA from 1 species